rnacentral:lncRNA from 1 species
ACUCCACCGGAUAGGGAGCAAAUAGAGUAUAGAGCAUAAGAAAGUAAAAACAAAAAAAACAAAAUCAAAAUGUUCGUUAAUUGGUUAAGAAAAGAAAUUCAAAAAAGAAAAAUGAGAAAAUUAAUGACAAAGUAAAUGAAAGUAUAUAAGAAGAAUCAAGUCAAGUUUUAAUCACUUGAAAACACACCUUAAGGAUGAAAUCAAUGCAAGAUUAUAUUUAAAUAGGAGAAGUUUAUUUGAAAAGAAUUGAUUUUGAUCAUUGACAUACUUGUUCUUAAUAUUUUAAUGCAUGACUUAAUACAUAAUAUAUUUUGCAUGUGGCAUGAUGUUUUGAAUUAUAGGUUCUCAAUAUUUUGUAAUGCUCCAUGCUUGGAUAAUUUGAUUGAAUGUUUGAAAUACUACAUAGAAUUUUUUUGGUAUUAUUGAAAAAAAAUUUCAGAUUUGUCGUUCACAAUCAUCUUUGAAAUAUGAAAGUUGAAUAAAUUUGUAAAAAGAAGAAGAGAAUGAUAUCUCUAUUUAGGCAAAAUGAAUUGAUUUUGUUUUAUCUUUCAAC